rnacentral:rRNA from 1 species
GACGAACGCUGGCGGCGUGCUUAACACAUGCAAGUCGAACGGAAAGGCCCUGCUUUUGUGGGGUGCUCGAGUGGCGAACGGGUGAGUAACACGUGAGUAACCUGCCCUUGACUUUGGGAUAACUUCAGGAAACUGGGGCUAAUACCGGCUAGGAGCUCCUGCUGCAUGGUGGGGGUUGGAAAGUUUCGGCGGUUGGGGAUGGACUCGGGGCUUAUCAGCUUGUUGGUGGGGUAGUGGCUUACCAAGGCAUUGACGGGUAGCCGGCCUGAGAGGGUGGCCAGCCACAUUGGGACUGAGAUACGGCCCAGAGUCGUACGGGGGGCAGCAGUGGGGAAUAUUGCACAGUGGGCGGAAGCCUGAUGCAGAAACCCCGCGUGCGGGAUGACGGCCUUCGGGGUGUAAACCGCUUUCGCCUGUGACGAAGCGUGAGUGACGGUAAUGGGUAAAGAAGCACCGGCUAACUACGUG